UGGGAAACUUUGAGCAAGUUUCUUUCUCUCUCUCUCUCUCUCUCUCUCUCUCUCUCUCUCUCUCUCUCUCUCUGUGUGUGUGUGUUUUUGCGUGGAAUUUGGGCUCGAGCGAAAAACAGAUCAGCAGGGGAAUAAAAACUUCACAUCCAAAACUAACUUUUUUUUUUUUUUUUUUUUUUUUUUUUUUUUUUAAAGCACACGUUUAUUUCCUCUUAUUGCAUCCGUCAUGAUGGAGUCAGAUAUUUAAUGAAGUCAGAUGUUUAACAGAGUGCAUUUAACUCACCUCAGAGACCUUGACCUCAACAACGACCUUUCAGUAAGAGGUAGACGCUUGUUGCGUGAUAGCAUGGUGAGAUGCGAUGAGGGAUUUCCAGUCUAGUUAAAGAAGGAGCUGAAUGUUCCUGAGGUGAGGAUGAGGUUCGCACGGAGGGCGAGGAGGCGGCCAUUUUGACUUCCUUUACCAAAUUUAAAAAAAAAAAUGCUGAAGCAUCCUGAUGGAGUGGGACACCAUAAGAAGAAUAAUAGGAGAGCCUGAUCUUCUACAUAUUCAUCACUGGGUGUUUGAAUUUAUAUCAGACAUUUUAGACAGUUUUGAAAAAACCUUAAACCUGCCAUCCACUAGAUAUUUAAAAAAAAAAAAAAA